rnacentral:rRNA from 1 species
GAUGAACGCUGGCUACAGGCUUAACACAUGCAAGUCGAGGGGAAACGACGGGGAAGCUUGCUUCCCCGGGCGUCGACCGGCGCACGGGUGAGUAACGCGUAUCCAACCUGCCUCUGACUGAGGGAUAACCCGUCGAAAGUCGGCCUAAUACCUCAUGGCAUCGUCUGCGGGCAUCCAACGACGAUUAAAGAUUUCAUCGGUCAGAGAUGGGAUGCGUCUGAUUAGCUUGUUGGCGGGGUAACGGCCCACCAAGGCGACGAUCAGUAGGGGUUCUGAGAGGAAGGUCCCCCACAUUGGAACUGAGACACGGUCCAAACUCCUACGGGAGGCAGCAGUGAGGAAUAUUGGUCAAUGGGCGAGAGCCUGAACCAGCCAAGUAGCGUGCAGGAUGACGGCCCUAUGGGUUGUAAACUGCUUUUAGGCGGGGAUAAAGUGAGGGACGUGUCCUUCAUUGCAGGUACCGCAUGAAUAAGGACCGGCUAAUUACGUG